GUCGCUGCAGGCGACGUUUCCAAGGUCGGGACAAGGUGCUUCAAACGCACCUUGGUGUCCAAUGCUUGCGGGUGUGAAAAACCAUAGUGGAUUUCGAAUCGAAAUCGCAGAAAACCUAAUGAAAUUUAAACUGAAAUUUCAUACAAAUUAGAUGAAAUUCUUCAGGAAUUUCAGUGAGAUUGGAUUAAAGAUCAUGAUUCCAUAUCGGAUUGAUGCAGAAAAUCACACAGCAAAGCCAUGGUGUCGCUUCAAGCGAUGUGGAUUUUUCUGGGUUUGGGACGCCAUAGGUGUCGGGUUUCCAACGGGGUCACGGGUUCGGGAGCCCUUAUGGGGACUCGGUGUGUGACUCACAGUGUGAAGGUGGUCUGCAGGCCAUCCUAUGAUGGUGGUGGACGCCGUGGUUGGCGUCGGGUUGUCCUGGGUUUCAACCUGGGUCUCGGCGUUUGCGGUUAGGAUGCAGGCUGCAGGCCUGGUGGCUUACGGCCUUGCAUGGUGCAAAGCACGAGUUCGAACAGAACCCCUAGUUCCCCAAUUCCAAUAUUUUUCCAAUUCAAUUAUAUACAUAUAUAAUUCAAUGAAUCACAUAUUUACUUUGAUGCAUAUGCAAAAUAAUAUUUUCAAUGCAUGUACAUAUGUAAGAUUCAAUUCAUGGCAAAUAUCAAAUUCACAUAAUUGUAGCAAUUUUGGUGAUGAAGCAUACACAAUUUAUGUAGAAUCUAAAAUACAUUAAACGUAAAGUUGGGUCAUGCAUCAUGGUGAAUGUUCAUGCUAUCAGGGCUUACAACAUAUCGAGUUAAAAACCGUUGUUUGGAAAGAACCUGAUUGCGUGUUGAUAUGGAUGAACUGGUUUGAUGCAGAAAAAAAAUCUCCAACGUCAUAUUCCUAAGCGCAGCGGUAGGAGCGUGCUGUGGUCUAUUUUUAUCUGACAAAAUAGAGAGGGCCGGCGGCAGUGGGAGAGAGAAGAGAUAUGUGUGUUUGUAGAAUUGUAGGGGAAUGUGUGUGUUGUUAUCCCUCCUACAUUGUGCCUUUAUUUAUAGUAGUAAAGGGAAAGAAGAUAUUCCUUCUCCUCCAAGUAAUACAAGUUGUAAUAGGAAAGGAUAACUAGAAUCAAAUCUAAUCUAGGAUUUACACAAUCAUACUUAUUCUAGGAAUGUUUACAACAAUAUUAAGUAUUUAAUUAAAAAUAAUAGAGUGUAGAGAAUAAGUUGGGUGUAGAAAGAAGUUAUCUGGGUUCAAAUAAAACUUCCCCUUCUUUUAACCUGUAGCAUAUUCGAUUCGAUGGCUACUCAAAUAGAUACCAUCUCCAAAUUUUGGAAUACUAAUAGAUGAAGUGGGUAAAGAAAAUGUUCUAGAUGGAAACAAUGAUGAUAAAACGAGUAUAUAGUCUCCAAAGGGAAAAAAACUUGUGUAGGGUUAACUUGUUACUGGAUUAUGCUAAGGUGCACUACAAUUCACUUAAAAUUUGACAAGUGUGAAUUUUUAAGUAUGAUUUCUUAUUUAUAAUUUAAAUUAAAAAAUUUCAGAAGAAACACAUCUCUAUAUACUAAAACCCAACCAGAUGGUACUGUGGAUGACCAGUGGGUGGACGAAUUUGCCCCUGGAUUUUUCCUCCGGUUGUUCUUCUCUUUGAUUUUUAGGGCAGCCAAAUGCCACUUUUGCCCAUUGCUUCCACGCGUCUGUCAUCGAUGGAUCUUCUAUUUGGACUGUCUUCUCCAUUUUUCUUUUGCUUUCCGUUGCUUUCUCACAUAUUUCUCACAGAUCUCUCAUCUGUUGUUCUCGGGCUAACUAAAUUUUGCCUUCGAUUCCAACGGGUGCCAUCCUCCUUUUCCAUGUCUCUGAGUCUAUUCACCUGAAAGAAAACCCGGAUCCAUUGCUUCCUCUGAAAUCAAACCCUAAUUUUGCCCCUAAACGAAUUGAAACGCAGUCAAACUCAAUUUCUAAUUCGAGUUGCGCCGAUUCUAGGGAUCUAAUCUGGUGUUUCCAGGUGUGUUUUUCAUGUUUAUGAGUGUGUAUGAUUUGGGUUGGUAAAUUUCCUUAUCUGUCAACUUCUAUCUGUUUACUUCAACAUAUUUAGUUGGGAAAUUUAAAUAUUUAACUGGAUAAUUGGAAAAUUUGGGUUUCUUUGAACUUUGUAGUCUCAAUAGUGUUUUGGGUUUAAGUUUUGUUAAUUGGUUAGCGAAAAUGGGGGACCAGUUCUUCAAAGGCUUCGUUGAAUUGGUGUUGUGAUAUAUAGUAUAGGGCAAUCAGGAUGUAUCCGUUUCUGAGUAAUCAGGGUGUAUCGGUUUCUGUGUAAUCAUGGUUUCUGGGUGCUGUGAUACAUAUUUGUGCUAUUCGGCUUUUUUGGGUUUAAUUUAGUUGUUGGUGAUUGUCGAUGCGUUGCAAAACUUCUCAAACCUCUCCCAAAUCAUGCACGUUACUACAAUAACUUUACUAAUGUUUACCCACCAAUUCUUACUAAUGUUUUUUUUUAUCUUUUUCCUCUGUUGACACAAUCUCCUACCAACAUCAAACAAGCACCAGUCCUGCAAAGAUCAACUUAUUGCUCUGUUUAUCAAGCUUGGUAUGAACAUCUCUCCAUUUUUUGCUAUUGUUAGAUACACACAUAUGGUUCAACACAGACAAAACAGUUUUUUAGUAAAAUACUUUACAUUACGUAAAAUUAAGAUACAAAUUAGUAACCACAAAAUGCAAACAGAACGCACAUUGCAUAAUGAAUAAGCUUUUGUGCAAAAACUUAAUGUGCUCACCUUCCUUUUUCCAAUUCUCUUUCUCUAUUGUUUUUUUAUCGUGUAAUUACGCUAUCAACUAAUUACAAAUGUUAAUAUGAUUUUUCCAAUGUCUUGGCAGAAAUUAUGUCAUUGUUGAUAUUGCAAAUAUUAAAUUUGUACAAAUUAAAAGGUAUGUUACCACUCUCCUUAAUCUACAUAUAUGCAAUGUGCAAAAUUACAUUUGUUCUCAAGAAUGAACCUGUUUUGUUCAAUCCUUCUAUUAUACUCCAAUACAAAUUAACCUAAUUCAUCCUGGGGCUAUAUAAAUUAGGUUACUAAUUUGUUUAUGCAUUUCUUUGUUGAUUGUUUCAUUUUUCACCAAUUUUCCAUCCGUGCCAAGUAGGUUUUUGUCAAGAGUUACUAUGAUCAACUUCCUUUUUACAAUUUCUGUCUUCUGUCAUUUUCUAUUAUGUAAUUAAAAUGUCAUGUCCUUGAUAGGAGAAUAUUUAUACGACUUAGUUAGCUUGUUUUCUUGCUUUUAAUUAGCUAAACUAUGAUAAUUAUAGUGUUUAAAGUU
rnacentral:lncRNA from 1 species